rnacentral:rRNA from 1 species
GACGGACGCUGGCGGCGUGCUUAACGCAUGCAAGUCGAACGAUGAACCCGGAGCUUGCUCCGGCGGAUUAGUGGCGAACGGGUGAGUAACACGUGAGUAACCUGCCCUUGAUUCUGGGAUAACUGCGGGAAACUGUAGCUAAUACCGGAUACGACCCUCGGCGGCAUCGCCAGGGGGUGGGAAGCAUUUCGGUCAAGGAUGGACUCGCGGCCUAUCAGCUAGUUGGUGAGGUAACGGCGCACCAAGGCGACGACGGGUAGCCGGCCUGAGAGGGUGACCGGCCACCCUGGGACUGAGACACGGCCCAGACUCCUACGGGAGGCAGCCGUGGGGAAUAUUGCACAAUGGGCGCAAGCCUGAUGCAGCAACGCCGCGUGAGGGAUGACGGCCUUCGGGUUGUAAACCUCUUUUAGUAGGGAAGAAGCGAAAGUGACGGUACCUGCAGAAAAAGCACCGGCUAACUACGUGCCAGCCGCCGCGGUAA